AGCUUGCUCCUUUGACGUUAGCGGCGGACGGGUGAGUAACACGUGGGUAACCUACCUAUAAGACUGGGAUAACUUCGGGAAACCGGAGCUAAUACCGGAUAACAUUUGGAACCGCAUGGUUCUAAAGUGAAAGAUGGUUUUGCUAUCACUUAUAGAUGGACCCGCGCCGUAUUAGCUAGUUGGUAAGGUAACGGCUUACCAAGGCAACGAUACGUAGCCGACCUGAGAGGGUGAUCGGCCACACUGGAACUGAGACACGGUCCAGACUCCUACGGGAGGCAGCAGUAGGGAAUCUUCCGCAAUGGGCGAAAGCCUGACGGAGCAACGCCGCGUGAGUGAUGAAGGGUUUCGGCUCGUAAAACUCUGUUAUUAGGGAAGAACAAAUGUGUAAGUAACUGUGCACAUCUUGACGGUACCUAAUCAGAAAGCCACGGCUAACUACGUGCCAGCAGCCGCGGUAAUACGUAGGUGGCAAGCGUUAUCCGGAAUUAUUGGGCGUAAAGCGCGCGUAGGCGGUUUCUUAAGUCUGAUGUGAAAGCCCACGGCUCAACCGUGGAGGGUCAUUGGAAACUGGGAAACUUGAGUGCAGAAGAGGAAAGUGGAAUUCCAUGUGUAGCGGUGAAAUGCGCAGAGAUAUGGAGGAACACCAGUGGCGAAGGCGACUUUCUGGUCUGUAACUGACGCUGAUGUGCGAAAGCGUGGGGAUCAAACAGGAUUAGAUACCCUGGUAGUCCACGCCGUAAACGAUGAGUGCUAAGUGUUAGGGGGUUUCCGCCCCUUAGUGCUGCAGCUAACGCAUUAAGCACUCCGCCUGGGGAGUACGACCGCAAGGUUGAAACUCAAAGGAAUUGACGGGGACCCGCACAAGCGGUGGAGCAUGUGGUUUAAUUCGAAGCAACGCGAAGAACCUUACCAAAUCUUGACAUCCUUUGAAAACUCUAGAGAUAGAGCCUUCCCCUUCGGGGGACAAAGUGACAGGUGGUGCAUGGUUGUCGUCAGCUCGUGUCGUGAGAUGUUGGGUUAAGUCCCGCAACGAGCGCAACCCUUAAGCUUAGUUGCCAUCAUUAAGUUGGGCACUCUAGGUUGACUGCCGGUGACAAACCGGAGGAAGGUGGGGAUGACGUCAAAUCAUCAUGCCCCUUAUGAUUUGGGCUACACACGUGCUACAAUGGACAAUACAAAGGGCAGCUAAACCGCGAGGUCAUGCAAAUCCCAUAAAGUUGUUCUCAGUUCGGAUUGUAGUCUGCAACUCGACUACAUGAAGCUGGAAUCGCUAGUAAUCGUAGAUCAGCAUGCUACGGUGAAUACGUUCCCGGUUCUUGUACACACCGCCCGUCACAC
rnacentral:rRNA from 1 species